rnacentral:rRNA from 1 species
UAGGGAAUCUUCGGCAAUGGACGAAAGUCUGACCGAGCAACGCCGCGUGAGUGAAGAAGGUUUUCGGAUCGUAAAACUCUGUUGGUAGAGAAGAACGUUGGUGAGAGUGGAAAGCUCAUCAAGUGACGGUAACUACCCAGAAAGGGACGGCUAACUACGUGCCAGCAGCCGCGGUAAUACGUAGGUCCCCGAGCGUUGUCCGGAUUUA